rnacentral:rRNA from 1 species
UUAGAUUAAGUUAUUAAGGGCGCACGGUGGAUGCCUUGGCACUAGAAGCCGAUGAAGGACGUUACUAACGACGAUAUGCUUUGGGUAGCUGUAAGUAAGCGUUGAUCCAGAGAUUUCCGAAUGGGGGAACCCAACACAAGUUAUGUUGUGUUAUCGACAAGUGAAUUCAUAGCUUGUCAGAAGGCAGACCCGGAGAACUGAAACAUCUUAGUACCCGGAGGAAGAGAAAGAAAAUUCGAUUCCCUGAGUAGCGGCGAGCGAAACGGGAAGAGCCCAAACCAAUAAGCUUGCUUAUUGGGGUUGUAGGACACUCUAUACGGAGUUACAAAGGAAUAUAUUAAACGAAUCAUCUGGAAAGUUGAAUCAAAGAAGGUAAUAAUCCUGUAGUUGAAAAUAUAUUCUCUCUUGAGUGGAUCCUGAGUACGACGGAGCACGUGAAAUUCCGUCGGAAUCUGGGAGGACCAUCUCCUAAGGCUAAAUACUCUCUAGUGACCGAUAGUGAACCAGUACCGUGAGGGAAAGGUGAAAAGUACCCCGGAAGGGGAGUGAAAGAGAACUUGAAACCGUGUGCUUACAAGUAGUCAGAGCCCGUUAAUGGGUGAUGGCGUGCCUUUUGUAGAAUGAACCGGCGAGUUACGAUCUGAUGCAAGGUUAAGCAGAAAAUGUGGAGCCGUAGCGAAAGCGAGUCUGAAUAGGGCGUAUAGUAUUUGGUCGUAGACCCGAAACCAGGUGAUCUACCCAUGGUCAGGUUGAAGUUCAGGUAACACUGAAUGGAGGACCGAACCGACUUACGUUGAAAAGUGAGCGGAUGAACUGUGGGUAGCGGAGAAAUUCCAAUCGAACUUGGAGAUAGCUGGUUCUCUCCGAAAUAGCUUUAGGGCUAGCCUCAAGUGAUGAUUAUUGGAGGUAGAGCACUGUUUGGACGAGGGGCCCCUCUCGGGUUACCGAAUUCAGACAAACUCCGAAUGCCAAUUAAUUUAACUUGGGAGUCAGAACAUGGGUGAUAAGGUCCGUGUUCGAAAGGGAAACAGCCCAGACCACCAGCUAAGGUCCCAAAAUAUAUGUUAAGUGGAAAAGGAUGUGGCGUUGCCCAGACAACUAGGAUGUUGGCUUAGAAGCAGCCAUCAUUUAAAGAGUGCGUAAUAGCUCACUAGUCGAGUGACACUGCGCCGAAAAUGUACCGGGGCUAAACAUAUUACCGAAGCUGUGGAUUGUCCUUUGGACAAUGGUAGGAGAGCGUUCUAAGGGCGUUGAAGCAUGAUCGCAAGGACAUGUGGAGCGCUUAGAAGUGAGAAUGCCGGUGUGAGUAGCGAAAGACGGGUGAGAAUCCCGUCCACCGAUUGACUAAGGUUUCCAGAGGAAGGCUCGUCCGCUCUGGGUUAGUCGGGUCCUAAGCUGAGGCCGACAGGCGUAGGCGAUGGAUAACAGGUUGAUAUUCCUGUACCACCUAUAAUCGUUUUAAUCGAUGGGGGGACGCAGUAGGAUAGGCGAAGCGUACGAUUGGAUUGUACGUCUAAGCAGUGAGAUUGAGUGUUAGGCAAAUCCGGCACUCUUAAGAUUGAGCUGUGAUGGGGAGAGGAAAUUGUUUCCUCGAGUCGUUGAUUUCACACUGCCGAGAAAAGCCUCUAGAUAGAGAUUAGGUGCCCGUACCGCAAACCGACACAGGUAGUCAAGAUGAGAAUUCUAAGGUGAGCGAGCGAACUCUCGUUAAGGAACUCGGCAAAAUGACCCCGUAACUUCGGGAGAAGGGGUGCUCUUUAGGGUGCAAGCCCAGAAGAGCCGCAGUGAAUAGGCCCAAGCGACUGUUUAUCAAAAACACAGGUCUCUGCUAAACCGUAAGGUGAUGUAUAGGGGCUGACGCCUGCCCGGUGCUGGAAGGUUAAGAGGAGUGGUUAGCUUCUGCGA